rnacentral:rRNA from 1 species
GACGAACGCUGGCGGCGUGCCUAAUACAUGCAAGUAGAACGCACAGUUUACACCGUAGCUUGCUACACCAUAGACUGUGAGUUGCGAACGGGUGAGUAACGCGUAGGUAACCUGCCUGGUAGCGGGGGAUAACUAUUGGAAACGAUAGCUAAUACCGCAUAAUAUUAAUUAUUGCAUGAUAAUUGAUUGAAAGAUGCAACUGCAUCACUACCAGAUGGACCUGCGUUGUAUUAGCUAGUAGGUGAGGUAACGGCUCACCUAGGCGACGAUACAUAGCCGACCUGAGAGGGUGAUCGGCCACACUGGGACUGAGACACGGCCCAGACUCCUACGGGAGGCAGCAGUAGGGAAUCUUCGGCAAUAGACGAAAGUCUGACCGAGCAACGCCGCGUGAGUGAAGAAGGUUGUCGGAUCGUAAAGCUCUGUUGUAAGAGAAGAACGGGUGUGAGAGUGGAAAGUUCACACUGUGACGGUAGCUUACCAGAAAGGGACGGCUAACUACGUG